rnacentral:rRNA from 1 species
AACGAACGCUGGCGGCGUGCUUAACACAUGCAAGUCGAACGCGAAAGGGACUUCGGUCCUGAGUAAAGUGGCGCACGGGUGAGUAACGCGUAGAUAACCUGUCUUCAUGUCUGGAAUAAUACGCCGAAAGGGGUACUAAUACCGGAUAUCUUGCUUUUCAUAAGUUAUGCAAGCAAAGGCGGCCUCUGCAUAUGCUACUGCAUGAAGAGGGGUCUGCGUACCAUUAGCUAGUAGGUGGGGUAAUGGCCUACCUAGGCGACGAUGGUUAGCGGGUCUGAGAGGAUGAUCCGCCACACUGGCACUGGAACACGGGCCAGACUCCUACGGGAGGCAGCAGUGAGGAAUAUUGCGCAAUGGGGGAAACCCUGACGCAGCGACGCCGCGUGAGUGAGGAAAAGGCCUUCGGGUCGUAAAGCUCUGUCAAGAGGAAAGAAGUGUACAAUGGCUAAUACCUGUUGUAUUUGACGGUACCUCUAAAGGAAGCACCGGCUAACUCCGUGCCAGCAGCAGC